UACGAAGGGGGCUAGCGUUGCUCGGAAUCACUGGGCGUAAAGCGCACGUAGGCGGAUCGUUAAGUCAGGGGUGAAAUCCUGGAGCUCAACUCCAGAACUGCCUUUGAUACUGGCGACCUUGAGUUCGGGAGAGGUGAGUGGAACUGCGAGUGUAGAGGUGAAAUUCGUAGAUAUUCGCAAGAACACCAGUGGCGAAGGCGGAUCUCUGGACAGCUCCUGACGCUGAGGCGCGAAGGCUAGGGGAGCAAACGGG
rnacentral:rRNA from 1 species